ensembl:lncRNA
GUUCUGCUGAUGGAGCUGCAGCACUCGCCAUGAGAAGGUUAGAGACUGGAAGUGCCGGCUCCUGCCAGCACACAGCGAUUUGCAAGUGAAUGCGAGGGAGCGAGCAUCCGAGAGGAGGGCUGCGCAUGAAAGGCGUCCCCUCCCCCGCAGGGCAGAAAGAGUCUCUGUUUCCAGCCUAAGUUUGUUUAUAGGAUAGAUUAUUCUGACAAAUAUUCAUAAAUUGAACCAUUCCUGUACUCCUUGGGAAGAAGCAAGUUGAAGUGGAUAAAGGACCUCAACAUAAAGCUGGAUACACUAAAUCUCAAAGAAGAGUAAAUGGGAAAUAGCCUUGAAGUCAUUGAUAUGGGAGAUAAUUUUCUGAACAGAAUACAAAUGACUCAGGCUGUACGAUCAAUACUUACACAACUAUGGCCUUAGCAGCUUUGUGUGUAAUAGCCAGAACCUGGAAAACAAUAUAGGUACCUCUCAACUGAAGAAUGGAUACAGGAACAUGGUACAUCUACACAAUGGAAUACUCUUCAGCUAUUAAAAAUCAAGAUACCAUGAAAUUUGCAUGCAAAUGAAUGGAACAUGAGGAUCUCAUCCUGAGUGAGCCUAAAGAUGUCACCUGUCCAAUGUGGGCUCUUCUAUACAUGAGCAUCGAGGAAGACACCAAGGAGCCUGUCUUCCCCCUCCACGACUCUCAGCAUAUUCUGAAUAACCUAGAUACCUUGGCAAAG